UACGUAGGGGGCUAGCGUUGUCCGGAUUUACUGGGCGUAAAGAGCGCGCAGGCGGUCGGAUAAGUCGAAUGUGAAAGCCCCCGGCUCAACUGGGGAGGGUCAUUCGAUACUGUUCGACUGGAAGGCAGGAGAGGGAAGCGGAAUUCCCGGUGUAGUGGUGAAAUGCGUAGAUAUCGGGAGGAACACCAGUGGCGAAGGCGGCUUCCUGGCCUGUUCUUGACGCUGAGGCGCGAAAGCUAGGGGAGCAAACGGG
rnacentral:rRNA from 1 species